UACGUAGGGUGCAAGCGUUAAUCGGAAUUAUUGGGCGUAAAGCGCGCGCAGGCGGUCCUUUAAGUCUGAUGUGAAAGCCCACGGCUCAACCGUGGAGGGUCAUUGGAAACUGGGGGACUUGAGUGCAGAAGAGGAAAGCGGAAUUCCACGUGUAGCGGUGAAAUGCGUAGAGAUGUGGAGGAACACCAGUGGCGAAGGCGGCUUUCUGGUCUGUAAACUGAC
rnacentral:rRNA from 1 species